GAGAAAACCACGUUUCCCUUCGUUAAACACCCAUUUCUUCUAUUUUUAUUUCCUCCUUUCUUCAGUUCUCUGUCUUCAAACCUCCAUUAUUGACCUUUUUGUUUCUUCCUUCCUUUCUCUCUCUUCAAACCCUCAUUAUUGUUUUUUUUUUUUUACCUUCUUAUUUCUUCCUUUUUCUUUCUCUCUCCACGUUUCAUCUUGUUCCCCAUUUCCACUCCCAAUCCUCUCUCUUAACCCCACACCUCCGACGGCCACAACGACUCCCGAACACACCGGCACAACAGACUCCGACGACCGGCACGGCAAAUCGGCGGCGACAGCAGCUCCAACGACAAACCCACCCAAAUCUACACCUCCACGAUUAGCGGCACUCUGACAAAGUCCCCCAUUACGACCACCGUGAAUGUGGGUUAUGGAAAAAGAAGAAGAAGCUCCUAAAUAAGAAAAGGAAAACUUUGUUUUCUUAAAGGAAUGGGGACAACGGAUCUCUUGGAAGACUGGAAAAAGUUCAAGCUAACAUCUGUAGAAGAGGAGGUAACAGUGGAUAUUGAUCUGGGAGCGACGAAGUGAGCGGAAAGGCAACUGGAAGCAUGUCUAGCUGGGAAAUUACUACUUCAGCGAGUUAUUUCCGGGGAAGUUCUGAGGAGAGUAUUUCAGCCUCUUUGGAAAGCAAGGAAUCAUUUCGCUGUUGAAGGGAUUGGUAGAAAUACGAUAACACUUUAUUAAAGACUAAAAAGAGAAAAGUGAAGAUUGAUGAUCAAAAUGCGUCAGGCACAUUGCAGACUAGCCUACUAGAGGAAUGAGCCAGCCAAGUUACUUUGAAAGUUCCAGCUUCACAAUGCUUCAGCCACAUUCGAUGCCUAGAUUGUCAAAACUGGAAUAACAACUUUUGACCAAGUAAUUGGUCCAAGAUUUGUUAUUAGUUCCUAAAAUCUCUACAACCUCAUUUGGUUCAACCUCCCAUGCAUUUCUCAACAUCUUGUUACCUCCAUGGCCUACAAAAGAGCUCCCAAGCAUCACUUCAAGACCUCUCAUUUUCCAUGCUUUGCUUUUUCUUUCUAAUUCUUAUCAACUUUAGCUUCUAAGUUUUAAUUCCAGUUUUUAAGUUUUG